CUGAAACCUGCUUAUCCCCCAGCUCCGCGCUCCAUGGGAACUGCGGUCAGGUGGAAAGUGAUUCUGUUCUCUGCCGAGGCGGCUUGAAGUGUCGUAAGACCCGCUAAAGUCCUAAAGCCCUUCCUCGUAACUGAGACAUUUAGGAUAAUCUUUAUGGGAGUUUUGCAUGAGCUUCUGCUUUUUGUUGCACUUAGAAGGAGAGUUAAUGAUGAGCUUUCACUGGCUUCUCCCCCCCCCCCCUUUUUUUUUAAAUCUAAGCCCAAAAGCGCCUGUUUAAGUUAAGUACCACCUCCCUCCAGCCCUUGGGAAACCACUCAAGAGGGCUUUGCUUGGCUCUGUGUUCAUGACACAUAAUGAAAACAAUUUUACGCUGUGGAGGGAAGUAUUGGGCAAUUACUGAUGUAACAGCCACCUGCAGUAGCGAGCCCUGGCUGCAGCAUUGCGAGGUUCAUGAAUAUUUUAUGGUGUGAUGUUAUUUUGAAUGGCUGGGGCAGGUGAAGGGGGCCCCAAGGGUGUAAUAAGUAACUCUGCUGGAGGCUGUGUAGCUGCUCUGUUUCCCUGCAGAGCCCACUGUGUAACACCAAGAAGCAUCCUGACCCUGCCUGGAUCGACGCGAGGGCAGCUGAGGCUGAGGCAAGAUGCUCUGACAAGUCACGGAAACAUCAAGAUUUAAACUGAGUAUCACAGCAUAAACAACAUAUUUCCAGCAUUCAGACUCUGUGAUUCUUCCUAUCGGUAUAUUUAAGAUUUCAGGUACAAAAAUCAUAUUGUAUAUGACCAAGAUACAAACAGUAUAAAAAUUAUUUUACAUGACAGGUAUAUUUCUAUGGAACAGAACAGGAAGAACGAACACUAGUUACCUAGACAGUUGAUGGAAAUUCAAAACAAUACCCUGUGAGAUCUAUGAAAAUUCUUUUUAAUCUGUGUGCAUGCAUUUUUAGAAUGCUAGAGUGUGCUUUUGAAGAAGAGCCUGGGGAGGUUGCACAUUAGACGUCGGGCUGAAUAGCUUUGUCAUAGAGAACAUGCUUAGAAAAAGAUACAAAAGAUUUGCAGAAUCCUUGGACGCAAAUUGGCACAGAGAACAGAAAUCCUGAACAGAAACAUAGAAGGAAAAUGUAGCAGACUAGACAUUCUGAGAAUAAU
rnacentral:lncRNA from 1 species